rnacentral:misc_RNA from 1 species
UCCGGGUUGGUCCCGGCGGUCCGGCCAGACAUAGUAACUGGCCGCGGGGGUUGCGCUCGUUGCGGGACUUAACCCAACACCUCACGGCACGAGCUGACGACAGCCGUGCAGCACCUGUGCACUGGCCCCGAAGGGCUGCCGUGUUUCCACGACAUUCCAGUGCAUUCUAGCCCAGGUAAGGUUCUUCGCGUUGCGUCGAAUUAAACCACAUGCUCCACCGCUUGUGCGGGUCCCCGUCAAUUCCUUUGAGUUUCAGCCUUGCGGCCGUACUCCCCAGGCGGGGCACUUAAUGCGUUAGCGCCGGCACCCAGGGGGUCGCUCCCCCAGGCACCUAGUGCCCAUCGUUUACGGCGUGGACUAC